UUGAACGCUGGCGGCAUGCCUUACACAUGCAAGUCGAACGGCAGCACGGGUGCUUGCACCUGGUGGCGAGUGGCGAACGGGUGAGUAAUACAUCGGAACAUGUCCUGUAGUGGGGGAUAGCCCGGCGAAAGCCGGAUUAAUACCGCAUACGAUCUACGGAUGAAAGCGGGGGACCUUCGGGCCUCGCGCUAUAGGGUUGGCCGAUGGCUGAUUAGCUAGUUGGUGGGGUAAAGGCCUACCAAGGCGACGAUCAGUAGCUGGUCUGAGAGGACGACCAGCCACACUGGGACUGAGACACGGCCCAGACUCCUACGGGAGGCAGCAGUGGGGAAUUUUGGACAAUGGGCGAAAGCCUGAUCCAGCAAUGCCGCGUGUGUGAAGAAGGCCUUCGGGUUGUAAAGCACUUUUGUCCGGAAAGAAAUCCUUGGCUCUAAUACAGUCGGGGGAUGACGGUACCGGAAGAAUAAGCACCGGCUAACUACGUGCCAGCAGCCGCGGUAAUACGUAGGGUGCGAGCGUUAAUCGGAAUUACUGGGCGUAAAGCGUGCGCAGGCGGUUUGCUAAGACCGAUGUGAAAUCCCCGGGCUCAACCUGGGAACUGCAUUGGUGACUGGCAGGCUAGAGUAUGGCAGAGGGGGGUAGAAUUCCACGUGUAGCAGUGAAAUGCGUAGAGAUGUGGAGGAAUACCGAUGGCGAAGGCAGCCCCCUGGGCCAAUACUGACGCUCAUGCACGAAAGCGUGGGGGAGCAAACAGGAUUAGAUACCCUGGUAGUCCACGCCCUAAACGAUGUCAACUAGUUGUUGGGGAUUCAUUUCCUUAGUAACGUAGCUAACGCGUGAAGUUGACCGCCUGGGGAGUACGGUCGCAAGAUUAAAACUCAAAGGAAUUGACGGGGACCCGCACAAGCGGUGGAUGAUGUGGAUUAAUUCGAUGCAACGCGAAAAACCUUACCUACCCUUGACAUGGUCGGAAUCCCGCUGAGAGGUGGGAGUGCUCGAAAGAGAACCGGCGCACAGGUGCUGCAUGGCUGUCGUCAGCUCGUGUCGUGAGAUGUUGGGUUAAGUCCCGCAACGAGCGCAACCCUUGUCCUUAGUUGCUACGCAAGAGCACUCUAAGGAGACUGCCGGUGACAAACCGGAGGAAGGUGGGGAUGACGUCAAGUCCUCAUGGCCCUUAUGGGUAGGGCUUCACACGUCAUACAAUGGUCGGAACAGAGGGUUGCCAACCCGCGAGGGGGAGCUAAUCCCAGAAAACCGAUCGUAGUCCGGAUUGCACUCUGCAACUCGAGUGCAUGAAGCUGGAAUCGCUAGUAAUCGCGGAUCAGCAUGCCGCGGUGAAUACGUUCCCGGGUCUUGUACUCACCGC
rnacentral:rRNA from 1 species